UGCCUAACACAUGCAAGUCGAACGGGGUCAUGGGGCUUGCUCCAUGACUUAGUGGCGCACGGGUGAGUAACGCGUGGGAACCUGCCCUCGAGUGGGGAAUAACGACGGGAAACUGUCGCUAAUACCGCAUACGUCCUUCGGGAGAAAGGCUUCGGCCGCUCAAGGAUGGUCCCGCGUCCGAUUAGCCAGUUGGUGAGGUAACGGCUCACCAAGGCGACGAUCGGUAGCUGGUCUGAGAGGAUGAUCAGCCACACUGGGACUGAGACACGGCCCAGACUCCUACGGGAGGCAGCAGUGGGGAAUAUUGGACAAUGGGGGAAACCCUGAUCCAGCAAUGCCGCGUGAGUGAAGAAGGCCUUAGGGUUGUAAAGCUC
rnacentral:rRNA from 1 species